GACGAACGCUGGCGGCGUGCUUAACACAUGCAAGUCGAACGGAAAGGCCCUGCUUGCCGGGUACUCGAGUGGCGAACGGGUGAGUAGCACGUGGGUGAUCUGCCCUGCACUUCGGGAUAAGCCUGGGAAACUGGGUCUAAUACCGGAUAGGAGCCAUUUUUAGUGUGAUGGUUGGAAAGUUUUUUCGGUGUAGGAUGAGCUCGCGGCCUAUCAGCUUGUUGGUGGGGUAAUGGCCUACCAAGGCGGCGACGGGUAGCCGGCCUGAGGGGGUGGACGGCCACAUUGGGACUGAGGUACGGCCCAGACGCCUACGGGAGGCAGCAGUGGGGAAUAUUGCACAAUGGGCGCAAGCCGGAUGCAGCGACGCCGCGUGGGGGAUGACGGCCUUCGGGUUGUAAACUCCUUUCGCUAGGGACGAAGCUUUUUGUGACGGUACCUAGAGAAGAAGCACCGGCUAACUACGUG
rnacentral:rRNA from 1 species